GUAGACAAAGUUUGAAGCAGAUCUGUGGCACAAAAAAAUGAAAAUCACCCAUUAAAACCAUUAGAAAUCAAAUAGAGGUAUGCAGACGCUUUAUUUAUUUAAUAAAAGAAAAUUUUAUUGAAAGAACUAGAUGCACAGCCUGAAGGAUAGAAUCAGCUGCACUUUUAAAGUUGUGAAUUUGAAGCAAGAAAUCAAAUGCUUAGGGAUAUAAAUAAAAUUGGGGGGAAAUUAGAGCUGGUAAAUGAUGUGACAUUUUGUUAGUUAAUUAUAGUUACAUAAGGAUUUGGGCCACCAUUGC
rnacentral:misc_RNA from 1 species